UACGUAGGGGGCGAGCGUUGUCCGGAUUUAUUGGGCGUAAAGAGCUCGUAGGCGGUUUGGUAAGUUGGAUGUGAAAUCUCCAGGCUCAACUUGGAGGGGUCAUUCGAUACUGCCAUGACUAGAGUUCGGUAGGGGAGUGUGGAAUUCCUGGUGGAGCGGUGAAAUGCGCAGAUAUCGGGAGGAACACCGGUGGCGAAGGCGGUUCUCUGGGCCUGUACUGACGCUGAAGAGCGAAAGCGUGGGGAGCGAACAGG
rnacentral:rRNA from 1 species